rnacentral:lncRNA from 1 species
CGAACCAAGCCGGAGCGAACACAUCGAUACCCUCCCCUUUUGAUAGCUAUAACAACCUCGUUUCCAAAUUCUCUGCUGUUGGCUUGGACAUCACCGACCUUGCUACACUUUCCGGUAAAAAAGAACAAUUGGACUUGCAUUUUAAUACGAAACGUGCAACUGUAGAUAUUGAUGCACAAAAAAGAUUUAUAGAGUGAGAUGCUGGAUUUUUGUCACAUAAUUUAUCGGCACAAACAUCUCUUCACUUUUGUUUAACACAUUCUAACUUCCUUAUAUGAUCAUGGUCUAAGAUUAAUUGUAAUCUAUUGACAUGCCUGUCUGGUACAUGGCCUAUGCACGCCUCGUGCAUAGGCCAUGCACAUCUACUAGAAGGAAUUUUGGCUAAGGAUUAUUAAUCUAUAAUUGAAUAAGUAAUUUGCCCUUGACUUGAGAUCGAUUGACAUGCAUGUGUUAUGCCUAGGCCAUGCCUGUAUCAUGCAUGGACCAUGCACAUCUACUAGAACGAAUUUUGGCUAAGGAUUAAGGAUUUCUUUUUCAUCACAAGAGUAUGAAUAUCGGGAAAGAUGGUAUCAAAAUUUGCAAGCCCCUCAUGUACUUAUCCAAGAAAUGCUAUGUUUACAUAAUCAAUAUAUUAAGUGAUGUCGCAAAUCGUUAUUACUUAUUCAUAUAUCCACUAAUGAGUUUGCUGCAUAUGUUUGGCAUACAAAUUCCGUUGAGCAUUCCUAGCAUUGAUCUAUUCAUCCAUCUCCAUAAUUAAGCAUCUGCAGAUAUUUGUUCUCUUAGCUAACUUUUCGUGCAUACGACAAUAAAACAGGAGCUCACACCUUCGGACGUGCACAGUGCAAGUCAUUCAACCCUAGGCUCUACAACUUCACCGCGAACGGUGGCCCUGAUCCCACCAUAAACCCGUGGUACUUGACCAAUCUCCGGAAACUUUGCCCUCAGAAUGGCGACAGUAGUGUCCUCGCCGACCUCGACCCGACAACCCCAAACUUGUUUGACAACCACUACUACUCCAACCUCCAGAAAAAUGAAGGGCUUCUUCUGUCCGAUCAAGAGCUGUACUCCACAACUGGCGCCGCAACAAUUUCCAUCGUCAACAGCUUUAGCUUUGACCAGAGUGCCUUCUUCGAGAGCUUCGCUCGGUCGAUAGUAAACAUGGGAAAUAUUAGUCCUCUCACCGGAAGUAACGGGGAGAUCCGGUUCAAUUGUAGGAAGGUCAAUUGGAGUUGAAAGAGUUUUUUGGGUGGCUUUGGAUGCAUGCAUGUGGGCAAAUAGCAACGUGUAAACUAAAAGUUCAGGCAUUGUUGGAAAUGUCAAUUCUAUAGGAGAGAGCUAGAGGUUUGUAUUUCUACGUCAAGUGCGACAUGUUAAGAGUUGAUUUGAUUGAAGUAUUUCGCUGAAUUGCACAUCUCUUUAAAGAGAUCAUAUUAAAUAAAUGAGAUCUUCUCCCAUGAAGAGUUUGUUGGAAAUUCUUAUAAACGUGAGCUAACAUCAAUCUCAUAUUAUUUUAGUAUGCGAAAGGCAUGUGGUUAUAUAGUAAAUAAAUUACAUGAGACAAUGCUUGAUAGCCCCAAUACAAUUGUUCAAUCAAUUUAUGUUGGGCUUAAGCAUAUCUCGAUAUGGUAAUAGAAUGGCGUUUGAUGGUCGGCGUAGGGUGGUAUUUUAACAAUGACGAUGAUAUUCUUCAACUCUACCAAAGGAGGAGAACAAGAAAAAAAAAAAAACACGCCUUCUUUGGUGUUGAUCAGUUUCAAGAUGGUGGCUGCCUAUAUCAAGUAUACGCAAUUUCGUUUCCAAGUGAAGUACUUUAAAUUCUAUCUUAUUACAUCGGUCAUUUUGAUACACAGUUAUAAAGUUUCUUGAGAUGAGGUUUUAACAAGAUGCUUUGAGAAUUUGCACUUUUCUUCACCUGGAGUUUUUUUAAAAAAAUAAAAAAAAUAAAUAGAAGAUAUGAUGAACGAUCUUGCUAAAAUUUUCUUGUGAUCAUCAAUCAAUCAAGUUAUGUUAUACGGGUUCCCAAUAAGAUCUUUGAUAUGCAAAUGUCUCAUUAGUAAUAACAUGUCAGCUUCUAUUAUAAUUACCAACUCUUAUAUAAAGUUACCAGUUUUAUUUGAGUUUCUUAUUAAUUUUUUUGAAGAAAGUCACUGUUUCAUCUUGCUUUACCAACUCUUAUUUAAAAAAUCUUGCCAGUCUUGAUUUGAUCAAUUUUACGCAAAAAAAAAAAAAAAAAUGUAAACUAUUAGAAUCGUUGGUAAUUUUGAAAUAAUUAGAUAAACGUUAGUAAGUGACUUGAAUAAGAAUUGGUAAGUAAAAAUGAUUUGGUAAAUUCAUGGGCUAAAUAAAGUUGAUAUGUGACCUCCAAAUAAAGUUAGUAAUUUGAAUUAAGAAUUGACAUCUUCAGUCAAAAUCAAUAAGUAAUUAGAAAUUUUGAUAUAACGGAAACAUCAAAUAGAACUUUGAGUUGGUAUUUAAACAUCGAUUUGUUAGUUAAUAAGGAAAAAAUUAGUAAGUUAAUUAUGCUCGUAAGUUGCGUAUUGAAAUAAAUAAGAUGGGUGAUACGAAUUUAUAAGGGAUUUAUUUGUCGCCGACUCUCUCUGUGGUGUAGGCACCUAAAGUUUGGAUCGAACCACGUAAAUUUUUAGGUGUCCUUAUUUCCUUGUUCUCUCACGUUUGACAUCGAAUUGCAAGAUUCAUUAUCUUCCACAUUAUUUCACAACUACUUCAAUUACUUCUCUAAUCAUGAGUUUUUUGAUUUACAGUGUUCUCUGCUCGAUGUAUCUAAUCCAACACUAUAAUAUGUAACAGCAUAUAUCCAUAUUAGAGAAUGAGAAUUCCCUGCGCAAAGAAUAUACUGCUUUUAUCAAUUUGGAUUUUGUUAUCGGAGUGUCUCAAUUACAUUAGUUAAGCAAUCAAUUAAUGAAACUCUCUGGUUUUCAAUGUUGGAGAAAUCUUCUUGAAUUGUUUUGGAGUUGAGAAAACGUUUCUAUCAGUCUAGUCUGAAGGCUUGCAGACUCUACUGUUUAAAGUCUGAAGACCUCCGGACAGCCAGACUCAAAACUCAAAGUCUAUCCUCAUUGACAGUCUCUAAUCCGUUGAAGAAAGGUUAUCUAGAACUGGAUGUUUUGUUAAAGAUUUAACUUUAUCAACUGGAGAAGAUCUCGUGGCUGGAGAAGACAUAACGGAGUCCUUUGAUUGAUUGAAGAUUGACUCGAUAAUUGAAGAUCCGGUGAUUGCCUAAAUAUUAUUGGAAGGUUCUGCUUAUGGAAACCGAGAUCCUGAUUGUAUGGGCGAACAUGAUUGAUGGGCUAUCAACACGUUCCUUUAAUAGCUUGAACAAUCUUCCUAAUUGAUUCUGUCCAACGGAUAGAUUGGAGGAAUUCCUUUGGUAAGUGCCAACGGGUAUGAUGGCAUAAAGGAGUAUAUAAGGAAGACGGUCUUAGUUGUUCAAGGUGUGCGCGAUAGAAGAAUUCCAAAGUCUGAAGCUCUUUUUGUUUAGACAAAUCCUUUGAGCGAAUACUUGUAUACAAAAGAGAGUCUAUAUUUGUGAGAAAUCUUGAGGAGGUGUGGUAGAACAUCUACACUGUGGAAUCAAGGCAAAGCUGUGCUGUAACUUCUCUUUUGUUCAUAGUGGAAUCCAGCCAAUAGGCUGUUAGUGAAGAAGAGUGGACGUAGGCUUGAUAUAAGCCGAACCACUAUAAACCGCGUGUUCAAUUUUCUCUUCUCUCAGUCUUACUUUGAUUAACGUUUCCUUCUACUGUCUAGUAUUGUGCAAUUGUUGAAGAAAAAUCUUUUAUAUACCUAUUCACCCCCCUCUAGGUACUCAUACUAGCAAUAUCAAUUGGUAUCAGAGCCUAUGUACUUACUUUAUUUGAAGUGUUUUACUUCGUAGUAAAAGAUCCAUGGCUAGUAUGCUAACACCAGGGCUGAUGGAAGAGCAAAGCAAUACCAGACCACCCUACUUUGAUGGAAAGGAUUACAACAUCUGGAAGAACAAGAUGAAAGCUUUCCUUCGAUCAAAGGAUCCUCUGGAAUGGGACGUUGUAGAAAAAGGAAUUACUCCUACCACUGCAUCAGUCUCUAAAAGAGGAAAAGAAACUGAUGAGAACAGCGGAAUGACUCAGGAAGAGAUAAUCAAGAGACAAGCACUUGAUGCAAAAGCAAUUUAUUCCUUAUAUUGUGCUUUGUCACCGACUGAAUAUAAUAGAAUAUCUUCUUGUGUUACAGCAAAAGAAGUUUGGGACAGAUUGCAUAUCACCUAUGAAGGAACAUAUCGAGUGAAGGAAACAAGAAUCAACAUUCUUCUCGGUCAAUACGAAGCCUUCAGAAUGAAACCAGGAGAAUCUAUAUCUGACAUGUUUAGUCGUUUUACAGAUAUUGUGAAUGGUCUUGAAAAUCAAGGUCAACCAACUUCUGAUCCCAUGAAGGUAAACAAGCUACUGCGUGGACUCUCCAGGGAUUGGAAUCACAUAAAGACUUCGAUAAGAGAGACGCAAAGAAUUAUGCCACUAUCUGUCGACGAGCUAAUUGGAACUCUUCAGUCUUAUGAAGUGGAACGGAUCAAUGAAGAUGAAGAUCCAAAAGGUAAGAAAUCCAUUGCAUUAAAAUCAAAUGAUGAUUCUGAUGAUACAGAUUCUGAAGAAGAUAUGGAUGAUGAGGAGCUUGCUCUCAUGAUAAGAAGAUUCAGAAAACUGAAUAGAAAAGGAAGAAGGUUCAACUCAAAGAAACAAAGCUUUCAAAGACAGCAGACCAAGUCUGUUGAUGAUGAGGAACCAAACAAAGACAUAGUCUGCUUUGAAUGUAAGAAAAAGGGACACAUCAGACCCAACUGUCCUCUUCUGAAGAAGAAGAGAGGAAAAUCUGAAAAAUUUCGAAAAGCUCUCAAAGCCAAAACCUGGAGUGAUACAGAGUGUGAAGAAAGUGAUAAUGAAUAUGCCAAUCUAUGUCUGAUGGCACAAUCAGACUCAGACUCUGGAUCAGACUCAGACAGUGAAUUUGAGGCAAGUAAUUUUAAAAUUCCUGUCAAAGUUUCUAAAUACAUUGAUGAACUGUGUUUUAGUCUUAAGACUUAUCUCAAAAGAAUUUCCGAACUGAAAAAGGAAAACUCAGCUCUAAAACAAAAGGAAAAUGUUUUAGUAGAAAGAGUUAAAAGUCUAGACUUGACUGUUUCCACUCUUAAAGAAAAUGAAGAUAAUCUUUUAAAAGAAAAUGCUCUUUUAAAAACAGACUUAUCAAAUAUUUCAAAGAAAUUUUCAAUAUGGUCUGAAAAACUUGAGAAAAUUCUUUCAGCUCAAAGACCUUACUUCAAUAAGUCCGGUCUAGGUAUGACAGCAGAAACAAUUCCCUUGAUUGAUUUUCCUAAAGUAAAAGAAAGAAUUAAGAAAAGACUCUCGAGAGAGGCUUACAAAAAUCACUUCAAGAAAGUUUUUGUAAAAUCUGUAGGUAGAAAUGCUCUCAGAUGUUCAAAAUGCAACAGUCCGGAUCACUUUGAAAAAGAGUGUCAUAUGGUUUGGAAACCUGUUAAGAAAAUAUGGGCUAAUACUGCUUAUGUUACUAACACCAAAGGACCCAAGAAAGUUUGGGUACCAAAGAAAGCUUGAGACUCUAUUUUAAAUGCAGGUCACUGUCAAGAAAAAGGUAAAGUGGUAUCUUGACAGUGGAUGCUCAAGACACAUGACGGGAGACUCAAAUUGUUUUAUAAAACUUGCUCAAGUAAAUGGUGGAAAAGUUUCAUUUGGAGGAAACAACAAAGGAAGUAUUGUGGGAUUUGGAACUGUGAAAAUUGGAAAUCUCACAAUAAGUAAUGUUUCCUUAGUGGAAGGACUCAAUUACAAUCUUCUCAGCAUUAGUCAACUGUGUGAUACUGGUUUCAAGAUCUUCUUUCAAGAAGGAAUAUGUUCUGGAAUCAGUAAAGACUCUACUCAGUCUUUUAUGGGUCGAAGACAUGGAAACAUCUAUCUUCUGGAUGUAAAACCAAAUGAAUCGCAAUGUUUUAUCUCAAUUCAAGAUGAAGCAAGCUUAUGGCACAGAAAGCUUGGUCAUGUCAACAUGAAGCAAUUAGCCAAAAUCUCAUCAAAACAGCUUGUUCGAGGACUACCCAAAUUACCUUAUCAAAAGACUGAUCCAUGCACUCCAUGUAUUCUGGGAAAGCAGGUAAGAAAUUCAUUUAAGCCAAUAAAUCAUGUCUCUACUAAUCGUGUACUACAGUUGCUGCAUAUGGAUCUCUUUGGACCAACCAGAACACAGAGUAUUGGAGGUAAGAAAUAUUGCUUAGUAAUUGUGGACGAUUACUUCCGUUUUGCUUGGGUAUAUUUCCUUGCAAGUAAGUCCGAAACCUUCUCGUAUUUUGAAAAAUUUCCUAAAAAGGUUCAAAAUGAAAAAGGAUGUGUCAUCUCAAGUAUAAGAACAGAUCAUGGAGGUGAAUUUGAAAAUCAAGAUUUUAUAAAAUUUUGUGAUGAAUUUGGAUUUAAUCAUGUGUUCUCCUCUCCAUAUAUUCCUCAGCAAAAUGGAGUUGUGGAAAGAAAGAACAGAUCUCUUCAAGAAAUGGCUAGAACUCUUUUAAUUGAAAGCAAAAUUUCUUCACGAUUUUGGGCUGAAGCUGUUUCAACAGCAUGCUAUAUAAUCAAUAGAGUCUUCUUAAGACCUAUUCUAGAGAAAACCCCUUAUGAGUUAUUCAAAGAUAAGAAGCCUAUUGUUUCAUACUUUAAUGUAUUCGGUUGCAAAUGUUUUAUAUUGAAAAAUACAAAAGAUCGAGUUGGUAAGUUUGAAGAAAGAUAAGAUGAAGGUAUCUUCCAUGGAUAUUCUACAUCAAGCAAAGCCUUCAGAGUCUAUAACAAGAAGAGCCAGUCUGUAGAGGAGUCAAAGAAUGUCAAAUUUCAAGACUCAACGCAAGAUGAAUCAAGUCAGACUCAUCAAGAAGAGUCUGAACCUGCUACAGACCUUCCAAAGCUUACAACUCAAGAAGCAUCUCAGACUCUGGAAAACCAGCAUCAGGAUGCUCGUGAAGAUCCAAACAAAGAAAGAGAUCAUCAUCCAGACAAAUCAACAAGUAACUGGAAGCAUAAGUCCAGUCAUCCCAAAGAUCUUAUAAUCGGCGAAAUUAAUGAAGGAAUUCGCACCGGAUCCAAAAGGCGAGAAGAGUCUAGUGCUGUGGCUCUCGUUUCUGAAAUUGAACCAAAAAGCAUAGAAGAAGCUUUAUCUGAUGAAAGCUAGAUUGAAGCUAUGCAAGAAGAGCUCAGACAGUUCAACAUUAAUGAUGUUUGGGAAUUGACAUCCAAACCAAAAGGUAAAACUGUUAUUGGAGCUAAAUGGGUGUUCAGAAACAAGAUGAAUGAGAAAGGAAAAGUCGUACGAAACAAAGCAAGACUCGUAGCCAAGGGAUAUACGCAAGAAGAAGGAAUAGACUAUGAUGAGACUUACGCUCCAGUAGCAAGGUUAGAAGCUAUUCGACUAUUACUUGCGUUUGCUUGUUAUAAGAAUUUCAGGUUAUUCCAAAUGGACGUCAAAAGCGCCUUCCUAAAUGGAUUUAUCCAUGAGGAAGUUUAUGUGGAACAACCACCAGGGUUUGAAGACCCAAAGAAGCCAGACUCAGUCUUCAGACUGAAAAAGGCUUUGUAUGGUUUAAAGCAAGCACCUCGAGCUUGGUACGACAGAUUGAGUAAGUUUUUAAUACAAAAUGAUUUUGUCAAAGGUAAAGUAGAUACGACUUUAUUUAUCAAAAAGGAAAACAAAAGUUUCUUACUUGUUCAAAUAUAUGUGGAUGACAUUAUUUUCGGAUCCUCUAAUGAAAAUCUGUGCAAGAAAUUUUCUAAGUCUAUGCAGGAUGAGUUUGAAAUGAGUAUGAUGGGAGAGUUAACAUUCUUUCUUGGUCUUCAAGUAAAACAAUUGAAGGAAGGAACUUUUAUUUAUCAAGAAAAAUAUGUUAAUGAUCUUGUCAAAAGAUUUGGACUGGAAAAGUGCAAAAAGACCGACAUACCGAUGUCAAGUUCUUUGAAGAUAGACAAAGAUGAAGAAGGGAAGAAAGUUGAUCAAAAGCUGUACAGGAGCAUCAUUGGUUCACUCCUUUAUCUUACUGCUUCUAGACCUGACAUCUUGUUGAGUGUUUGCAUCUGUGCUAGGUUUCAAUCAAAUCCUAGAGAAUCCCAUCUCAGUGCUGCGAAAUGCAUCAUUAAAUACGUUGCUUCAUCAUCAAGCAUCGGUCUUUGGUAUCCUAAGAAGGGAGACUUCAAUCUUCUGGGAUAUUCAGAUGCAGAUCUGGCCGGUUGCAGAGUUGAUAGAAAGAGCACUUCGGGAACUUGCCAGUUGCUUAGAAGUAGGACAGUGUCUUGGUUUUCAAGGAAACAAAGCACUGUGUCCCUUUCAACAACAGAAGCAGAGUAUGUAGCCCUGAGAAGCUGCUGUUCGCAAAUUCUAUGGAUAAAACAACAGCUAAGAGACUUUGAAAUUGAAGACUCAUGCACGGAGAUUAAUUGCGACAACACCAGCGCUAUCAACCUCACCAAAAAUCCAAUUCUCCACUCAAGAGCAAAGCAUAUAGAGAUUCGACAUCACUUUAUUAGAGAUCAUGUUCAAAAUGGAGAUGUUUCAAUUCAAUUUGUUGACUCAAAGAAUCAACUAGCGGAUAUAUUCACAAAGCCUUUGGAGAAAAAUCAAUUUGAGUCUAUACGUUUCAGACUCAACAUUUUGAGGUAUGAGAAUAUCAAAGUCUAAAGACCUUCAGACUCAGUCUUACAAGACUUUAUCUGAAAGAUAGUCUUGGUACGACCGUCAGACUGUAAGUCUCUCUCUCUUGAAUCUCAUCUUGAAAAGGUACGAUCGUCAGACUGUGUUUAAAUUGUUGCUAUAUUUAAUUGACGUAAAUAUUGCAUCGUUUCAUUUUCAAAAAGGAAGUUAUUUUUGAAAUGGCUAUUUUUGCGGAAAAAGACAGUUAUUUUGAAAAGGCAUUCUUUUAUUUCCUUUGUGACGGUUCGUUUAUCCCUCUUUUUAACCGAUCGUGCACUGUCGAUUCCUCUUCACUUUUCUCUCAAAAACCCUAGAAAGCAUCGAUCCUCCAUUCCCGUUUGUCUUCUUCGCUUAAUCCUCAAAAAGUUGUCAUCUUUCCUGGGAAAGUCAAGCAAGGAAUCUUCCAAAAACUGAGAAAGAUGUCAUCUUCAAGAAAGUCUUCGAGAAUUGCAAGUAGGGGACCACGGCGAAUGAGUGAGGGGCCUACGCACUUCGAUCUUACUAAAGACGAAGUGACUCCAGAACAGCAAGCAAGCCCACAACAUUCUCAACAGCGUCAUUCUCCUCCAUCUAGUCCUCAAGGCGUUGAUCAUCAACAGGAAGAAAUGUGACAUCCAGAUUUUCGGGUCCUAAUUUUGACUGGAUAAUAGGGCCGCUUUUGUUCGGUUGAAGCCAAGGAGUGUGAAAUUGGGAUACAAGUGGGCUACAUUGGUAAGGAAAAAUAUCAAUUGGAAUGAUGAGGCGUUGAAUGAAAUUAUGGGAGUCAAUUUGAUUUAAUUCAAGAGGAAUUAAGGCCUAAUUGGAGAGAAACCCUAGCAAAAUUCGUAUGCCACACUUACCCCCACAUUUUGGCCUAUCUAAAGGCUUCUAGAAGGGGUAGUUUUGGGCUGGAAAUGUGGGUGGAUGACAGCCAUAGUGGCCCACGUAUGGCUGACCUAAGAGAGAGAGAGAGUGAGAGAAAAAGAAAGAAAAAUGGGUUUUCUCUUCUCCCCUUCUCUCUCCCGUCGCUGUCUCUCUCUUCCUCCAUCUUCUUCUUUGGUUGUGCGACGCCAUGGAAGCCGAAGAAGCCGAAGCAACAGCAACAGCUCCGCCCAUCGUCGCCUCUCGUCGUCAUCGUCGCACGCCCGCAAGCACCGAAGCUGCUCGCGCACCCGAGCCGCCGCCGAGCUGCUGACCGCGUGCGUCCGCCCAUCUCCUCCCUCUGGUUCGAACAGAACUGACCAGUAAGAGUAGAAGCAGCGAUCGGCGCUGCUUGAAGGAGCUGCAAUCGCGCCGGAGCUGCCAUCGCCGCCGCACGCUGCCUCGUCACCGUCUGCUUCUCGCCUGCCGUGCACCGCCUGCCUGGGUCCAAACAAGCUGCUGUCCAGCCUCUGUUCCGCCCCUAUUCAGUCCCGUUCAGCCGCCUCCGGCCACCUCCCGACCACCUCCGACCACCUUUAGCCUCGCCGGAGCUCCGCCUUGCCCUCAGCCGCCCUUGGCCGCCUCAACCAGCCCCGGAUCUGCCCCGACCAGCAGCGAUCAGAGGGUUGCAGAAAAUGGGUAUCGCAGAGGGUUUUGGCCCGUUUUGGCCGUCUUCCCGAGCCCGGAUGCUCGGCCCGCUUUGGGGAAAGUCGAUCAUCGCGUCGAGCCCGUCGUUUUGAGUGAGUUUUACUCACUAAUGCCUUCUUAGUGCGCUAAUUAUACUUAAAGGUUGAUUAGUGUUAAUUAAGUGUAAUUAGGUUGUUAGAUUGUAAUUGAUUAGUGAUUAUUAGUUAAUUGCUUUGCAUAUUAGUUGUGUGAUUAGUGUAAUUAGAUAGAGAAUUGCAUGUAGUAUUUAUUGGAUCCUUCUUGGGAUUUUUCCCGUCCCUUAUCGGGUGUUUAUUAAGCGAUUCGGGCCUAGGUGGUAUUUUUUUAGGAAUUAAAUAUUAAUUUUCGAAAUUAAUUAUUUAAUUAUUUAUUUCCCGGAAAUUCAAUUGAGAUGGCUAGUGACCGGGAUUUUAUGCUGAAGAUCAUGGCGCAGUCCGUUUAUUUAAUUGAGCUUUAUAUUGUGCUAAAUUGAAUUUAUUGUAUUUAUUUAUUUAAUUUUCGAAAUUAAUAAAUUAAUUAAUUAUUUUUCGGAAAUUAAGAUUUUGAUGGCCGACGACCGAAAUCUCGUGCUGAUUGUCGUGGCGCAGUCCGUUUAUUUAUUUGAGCUCUACGUUGUAUGGAAUUGAAUAAAUUGUGAUAUUUUAGGGAUUUACCCUAAUUUGAUUGAUUGAAUUGAGAUAUGAAUUGGUUUAUAUAUGUAUCCGCUUAGGCGAGCAAUUAUGAUAUACAUAUAUAUAUGGCAGCUUCUGGUGAGCUAUAGUAUACUAUAUGAAUAUAUGGCAGCUUCUGGUGAGCUAUAGUAUACUAUAUGAAUAUUGCGGCAGCUUCUGGUGAGCUAUAGUAUACUAUAUGAAUAUUGCGGCAGCUUCUGGUGAGCUAUAGUAUACUAUAUUGAAUAUUGCGGCAGCUUCUGGUGAGCUAAGAUCCAUAUAUCAGCUUGUGCGAGCUAUCAUCUAUGUAUAUAUCAGCUUGUGCGAGCUACCAUCUAUAUCAGCUUAUGAGAGCAUUGCAUCCAUUUCAGCUUGUGCGAGCCAUAAUUGUAUUGAUGGAUGAAUAGAUGGUAUGGUUUAAUAGAUGAUAUGAAUUGAUAGAUGUGUGGAUCGUAUGAUAUCAAUUGGAUUGACUGAAUUGAUAGACCGAUGGGUAUGUCGGUAGAUUCAGCUUGUGCGAGCAUUGUUUGAAUAUUGAAUUGUUUACGUUGGCUCGGUGAUCUGAUGCGUCACUUUGGUAAGCGAGUACCUUAGAGAAUGCACGUGGGCCCGGGCAUCGUAAAAAGGACACGUGGCUCGGUGGCUUGAUGUACCACCUUGGCGAAGAGGUCGCCUUAGAGAAUGCACGUGGGCCCGAGGUUUGAGGCACGUGGUUCGGGGACUUGGAAUGUCAUCCUUGAAAAUGCACGUGUCCUAGCUUUUUGAUACUCCUCCGUGGAGAGUGAUUUGUAUGACAUGUAAUCGACUAGGUCGAUUGAUCAUUGUUUUGAUAGGAUGUUGUGAAUUGAUUGAUUGAAUGGGAAUGACCGUGAGUGGUCUUGUUGACAUGUAAUCGACUAAGUCGAUUAGAUCGAUGCUUCGAUCUGUGAUGUGAUUGCUUGUGUGCCUAUUUGAUCUGUACUAAUAUGCAGGUAGAAUCUGAGGCUAAGGUAAGUUCUUUGACUCAUGUUGUGCAUAGGCAGCCCUAAGGUGUAUUAGUUUACUAAUCGGGUCUUAGGAGGUAGAACUUGCUGAGACGUGGUCUCAGUGGUUAUUGAAUAACCAUUUCAGGACCUGGAUGAGGAGCCUAAGGAGCAUGAAUCUGACGAGGAGAUCCUUGUUGAGGAACCCUGAAGAGGAGUACGUGGAGGAGGACCCCGAGUAUGACAUCGAGUACGACCCGGAUGAGGACCGAAAUCCUAUCCUGUCUUGUCAGACCUUGUUUGCAUGUAAAAAGUUGUAGUUGUGAAUUUUCAGUGAGAAAAAUGUAUGGCCUGCUUUUCUAUCCCAUUGCUUUAUUGUCUGGGGAUUUAUAAUUGCUUCCACAUGUGCUAUAAAGAAUGAAAGGGUCGGCGAUACAUAGUCCUGGGAUAUCGCAAUUUAAAAUCGACCAAGAGUAAGGGAUGUGUGCGUGCCUGAGGGUCGGGGCGUGACAAGAAAUCAUCGAGGAUGCAGACCCUGUAAGAGUUCAAAAGCCCACUUAUAUUUACCAGUUAUAUCGUGCCCUAAAAGGAAUUCGUACUCCUUUGAACUACAUUGAUGAUUUUCUUAAAGACAAAGGACAUGGGAAUGAAUAUAUCUUUCUGCGAAAAAUGGAAAGUUUGGGAAUUGCUCGAAAAGGGGUGGUUGAGGAAACCCUUGCAAAUAUCCCAAGUGAUCCUCGUGACUGGGGGCCGAAUCCUAUAGAUGGGAAUGAUGAUGAUAAAUUAUACAGUCAAUUUCAACCAAAAAUGGGUGUUGCGGUUGAAAAUCAAGGAAAAAUGGGAGAUUUGUUCAGAUCAAAGGAGCAAAAGGAUCUGUACUCGAAAUUGCUGAAGCGUGGGGUAAUAAACCCUAGGAGUGUGGAUUUUGAUUUUCUGGAUGCUGUGAAUGUGAACUUGAGGGAAAUGUUCAGUUAUCUUCAACUUGAAAAGUUCUGCUCUGACUCUACAGAGGCCUAUGCUGAAUUAACUGCAUAUUUCUAUUCAAAUCUAAGCUUUUUGGAUGCGAAUAGAUUCUCUUUCAACGUUAAAGACCAAGACUAUGUUGUGGAUAUGAAUAUGCUGGCAGAUGUGUUAGAAGUCGAAAGAGGAAGAUAUCAACCAAUCAAAGUUUCCAUUGCUCGGGCCACACUUGAACUGGUGAAGGACAGGAGAACAGAUGAAAAGAUCACCUACUUAAGGAUGGGUGCAUUCAACAUCUUACUCCACAAGAUUGUGAUUAAUUGCCUCCGACCGAAAUCAACUUCCAAGACUGAUGUUUCAAGUUCAGAGGCCAAGCUGAUGUAUGCCAUUCUCUUUGGAAAAAGGUUUUCUCUCCCUCACACUGUGAUGUUUCACAUGUAUAGAGCAAUGAUGAAGGACAGAGGUCAACUCCCUUACCCAAGCCUUGUUACGAAGUUAUUUAGACAUCUGAAUAUUCAGCCUCUACAAAUCUUUUGUGUUCGACCAUGCGAUCAUAUGGUGGUAGGACCGAAAAUGGUGACCAAAAUGCGUCUGAAGGAACUGAGCAAGGAGUUGGAGAAAUUCAAGGAGAAGACUCCUGCAAAAUCUCAUCAAAUCUCUUCUGCAGCUAAAAGAAAAGGGAAGGAGCCCAUGGUUGCUCCAUCCAAGAGAAGAAGAGCUCUCCUCGUUGAGGAUGAAGAUGAUGAGGAAGACAUCACCAUCUCUGCAUUGGCUUUGAAGAAUUUAAGUCGUCUUGUUCCACAGAAAGAAUCGGAACAAAUGACGAAAGAAGCAGAGGAGAAGGAAGAAGAAGAAAUAGAAGCUGAAAAAGAAACAAAGGAGGAAAGACCUGAAGAAGAAAGAAGAGAAGAAGGAGAACCUAAAGAACACUCUUCUCCACCUGUAGGCAUGGAAACAGGGGGAGAUCAGGAGAAAGGAGUAAAGUCUUCAUAUCCUGAUGCAAGUGAAGGAGUCAGUCGCUCACCAGCAGACCCAGAGGAUGUUUAUGCAUCUCAGUUUCCAGAGGAAGGUCAUGAAGUUUCAUCGCCAAAUCUGCGAGAUUAUGCUGAUCUACCAUCGUCUGCAUUUACUCCAUCAGAUUGAGCCGAAGCAAGUACUCAGACUGAUAAUGGAGCAGAUUUUCGCAGAAUCAUGGAUAUUCUCUUGGAGAUGCGAGGUCAGAUUUAUGCCUUGGGAUGCGAAGUUCAAAGCUUGAAGAAUGAAGGUCAAGCUUCUUCCUGUUCAUUGAAUGAUAAAAUGCAAGCCCUCUCUGUUCAGAAUCAGGCCAAUGCCAAGAGUGAGGAGAUUGCACAACUAAAGGAAGACUUUAAAAGGCUGGAAGGCAUCGUUCAGUUUAUGGAAGAUUUCCAGCUUGUCCACGUUCCCAAGCAAUCUUGACUUCAUCUCAUCCUUUUUAAUGAUGACAAAAAGGGGGAGAGAUGCAAGAUUUGAACAAAAACUUUUCAUUCAUUAAACUUUUAAUCGUUUGUUGGAUUGUUUUGUGGUUUGAACUCUGUUUGACUUUGUUUUUGUGUCUGGAUAAGAACUGAACUAGACUUGGACUUGACUGUUUCUAUUAACUAAUAUUGAUAUCUUAUGGAUGGCUUCAUCAUAUACUGGACUAAUCUAUUUUAUGUGGUUGCAGAUUCUAGUGUUAUUCUGUUAAGCCAUUUAUCUCUAUAAGAUAUGCAUAUGUGUUUGAGAAAUGUUUUGCAGGUCAAAGAUAUCCAAAUCUGCAGGAAAGUUUUGUCACCAUCAAAAAGGGGGAGAUUGUUGGAGAAAUCUUCUUGAAUUGUUUUGGAGUUGAGAAAACGUUUCUAUCAGUCUAGUCUGAAGGCUUGCAGACUCUACUGUUUAAAGUCUGAAGACCUCCGGACAGCCAGACUCAAAACUCAAAGUCUAUCCUCAUUGACAGUCUCUAAUCCGUUGAAGAAAGGUUAUCUAGAACUGGAUGUUUUGUUAAAGAUUUAACUUUAUCAACUGGAGAAGAUCUCGUGGCUGGAGAAGACAUAACGAAGUCCUUUGAUUGAUCGAAGAUUGACUCGAUAAUUGAAGAUCUGGUGAUUGCCUAAAUAUUAUUGGAAGGUUCUGCUUAUGGAAACCGAGAUCCUGAUUGUAUGGGCGAACAGGAUUGAUGGGCUAUCAACACGUUCCUUUAAUAGCUUGAACAAUCUUCCUAAUUGAUUCUGUCCAACGGAUAGAUUGGAGGAAUUCCUUUGGUAAGUGCCAACGGGUAUGAUGGCAUAAAGGAGUAUAUAAGGAAGACGGUCUUAGUUGUUCAAGGUGUGCGCGAUAGAAGAAUUCCAAAGUCUGAAGCUCUUUUUGUUUAGACAAAUCCUUUGAGCGAAUACUUGUAUACAAAAGAGAGUCUAUAUUUGUGAGAAAUCUUGAGGAGGUGUGGUAGAACAUCUACACUGUGGAAUCAAGGCAAAGCUGUGCUGUAACUUCUCUUUUGUUCAUAGUGGAAUCCAGCCAAUAGGCUGUUAGUGAAGAAGAGUGGACGUAGGCUUGAUAUAAGCCGAACCACUAUAAACCGCGUGUUCAAUUUUCUCUUCUCUCAGUCUUACUUUGAUUAACGUCUCCUUCUACUGUCUAGUAUUGUGCAAUUGUUGAAGAAAAAUCUUUUAUAUACCUAUUCACCCCCCUCUAGGUACUCAUACUAGCAAUAUCAUUCAAUUCAUCAAUUGUCUCUUGUCAUGCACAACCAAUGCAUUAAAUAUUUGAUUAUUUCAAAUAAGUAUACUCGACAGGGUCUUUGAGGGUAUUUGUUAAUAGCACCCCGAUCAAUUUAUCAGAAACUCCACGAACAUAGGAAUCCAAGCAUCUUAGUUAUACAUCGAACUCUGUUCCUAAAAUUUCCAGAAAGAAUUAGUUUGAGGAUUUCCCUGCAUAUAAAGGUUAGGUUUCGACUGUAUAGAUAAGGAAGACUAAGCAAAAUUCAUUUUGAACUGUGUUAUUUCGAAGUUAGGUAUGUCCUAAGCAACAUCCCCGAACAAAAUGGAUCCUGCCUUUCUCUUCCUGAAAGGGGAUAUCUGGACUCAGUUCAUCUGUUGUAAGUCAAUAAUGGAAGUCGAAACUCUUUCAAUGAAGAUAUCAUUUAAUAGUCAGAAUCUAUAAAGGAGUUUUGAGUGUUGAUCGAGGCCUCUUCUCAACUCUUAUUGAGGUUACAUUGAAUCAACUGCUACGAACAAAUUUCUUGUGGACCCAAGGCUUGUUGCAGCCUACAUGAUCACGAUCGUGCCUGGGAAGGGCAAAGUAACAGAGUGAAAUUUCGGCUCGAAAGAUGCAACCAUUACCUUAACCAUCACUGCAAUGCAGGUUCCUUUUGGAGUGCAACCGAUGGAAACUUUACUAUCUGACCCGCACGUAUCAAGAACGAGAAACAUAAAAACAGGGAGAAAAAAUCAGAGGAGAAGGCAUGCAAAUAAUUUCCGUGGAAAAAUUCUUUAAAAAUAAGAAAGAAAAAUCACGGUGCAAGUUAAGCGAUUUGAUAUUGCCCUGAGUUGACAUAUAUAUUUAAAAAAAAAAACGUGAAAUAUAUUGAUCGGGACAAACUCCAUGAACUCUAGCUUACCUGCUCUAGCUUGUUGCGUUACAAUGUUUUCAUUCUCUCUCGCAUUUAAAUAGUUUGAAAUGAUUGAUAAAGAGUUAUCAUCUUUGGCUAAUAUUUUAACUAAACUAAGUAAUCGUUUAAGAUUAAACUUUUCAGUAUAUAUUAAUUCCUUUUUUUGAGUAUAAAAGUAGAAAUGAAAGACCUUUCCAUAUUCAUCCUCCUUUCUUUUAUACGAUUUUUGCAUGGUUGGGUAGGUUUGCUUAUGUUUAGAGAUCCUGCAAGCAAUCGAUUUGAAAGACGGAGCUUGAUCCAAAAAAAUUGAAGUAAAUUCACAAAUGAUGAAAAAAUAUUUUAGAUUUUAAUUUCCUCGAAUUUACUCUUUAUUUUCACCGCAUUCUUAGGUUAGUAUUAUCUUAAAAGAAAAUCAUAUGAUUUAUAAAACAUGACAUCGCGACAUUUUUUGUUCCUCCUAUCAAUCUUUGACUCCUAAAAUUUGAUAUUUCACUAAGUAAAAUAUCGGACGAACUGCGUCUCUUCCAAAUUAAACUUGAACCGUGCAACUGCUCUCAGACGAACCAUUCGAUCUUGUUGUGAAAUGUGAUUUCGCUCGCGCCACCGUGUGUUGGUCAUUGUUGACCCGUCAAUGGUCAACAGUGAACACCACAUUUUCUCUUCCUUCUCCAGAUAAUACAUGUAUAAAUACAAAAUAAAGAAAACAGGUAGAAUAAGUAUUAUUAGGACAUAUACGAGGCAGGCGUUUGGGUGGUCGUUAGAGACGUGUUGGCGGUGAUGGCGGCGGCGGAUGAACCGAGUACUUUUUCUCCCACUAACAAAUGAAUAAUAGACAGUCCAUAUGUGUAAAUCAAUUUGCAAACUCGAACAAAACGAGCAACAGAAAAUCUUGGUUUCGAUUAACUAAGAAAAGUAUUUGUCUCACAAAAAGAAAGUAGGAUAGAUUUAUGAUACAUAAUUAAAGUCAAAGUUAAGAGUAUGAUCAUUCAUGUGCUCUUCACGUGACACUUAAUUUUAUUGUUGUGAUUAUCACGUGGCAUAGCUUUUUCCAUGUCGUCCAUAUUUGACCAAUCAGCAUUAUUUUGUCGAUUUUUUGUCACCAAACUUCCAACCCUUAUUGUGAUGUCAUCCAUAAGUAAGAUCCAUCCCCACACAUAAAUGGUCACUACUUUGUGUUGCUAUUCAAAGUGCUUGUUUUGAAGGCUUGACCCAUGCCAAAUGGACAUGAUAGUUACAAAUGUUAUUAGAGUAUGAUCAUCUACCAUGGACAAAUUAGGCUCAUCCUUGAUCCGACAAGAGUAGCUUGCUUAGAUAAGGUGUGGAUCUUAUCAAAGCUUUUAAGAUGGCAGAGAAGGCAAAACGAAUAGGAGGGGUUGAUAUUGCUAGUACGAGUACCUAGAGGGGGGUGAAUAGGUUUAUAAAAAUUUCUUGAAGAUUUCACAAUACUUAGACAGAUGAAGGAAAAAAAAAUCAAUCGUAAGACUGAGUAAAGGAAAGAGAGAAUUGAACACGCGGUUUAUAGUGGUUCGGCUUGAUGCAAGCCUACGUCCACUCUUUUGCACUGACAGCCGAUUGGCUGGAUUCCACUAUGAACAAAGAGAUGUUACGGUGUUGAUCUUCCUUGAUUUCUCGAUGUAGAUGAUCUACUACACUCGCUCAAGGUAUCACCAAGUAUAAACACUCUCUGUGUAUACAAUUUCGCUCAAACUGUAUCGACUAACAAUCAAGGUUCUUCAGACUCUGGAAUUUUUCUAUCAAUCACACACUUAAAUCAACUAGAACGUCUUCCUUUUAUACUCCUUUAUGCCUUCAUAGCCGUUGGCACUUAUCAAAGGAAUUCCUCCAAUCUACCCGUCGGACGGAAUCAAUUAAGAAGAUCAUCCGAGUUAUUUAAGGAAUCUGAUGAUAGCCCAUCAAUCCUGUUCGCCCAUACAAUCAGGAUCUUGGUUUCCAAGAAUAGAACAUUCCAAGAAUGUUUCGUCAAACAUUGGAUCUUCAAUUGAUCUUAGAUAAGAAUCAAAAAAUCCGAAAUGAUUAUCCAACCAAGGGAUCUUUUCCGAGGAUAGGAUCGAAUCCUCAACCAUAUACUUAGGCUUCAGAUUUCCUUCGUCACUGGAUUAGAAAGACUGUCAGUGAGAAUAGUCUUGAAUCUUGAGUCUUGAGUCUUGAGUCUUGAGACUUUAAACUGUCGACAUCCAGACUAGACUGAUAGAAAUGUUUUGUUAGCUUCAAAAUAUUCUGGAAAGAUUUCUCCAACAGGGGUAUCGCUCGGCAACAGUAUGGACCAACAAUAAUGAGAAUGUCGGUGGUUUGUGGGGGAAAGUUUGUGACACCACUAGACAGAUUAUGGAUGGUAAAACUUGCGACGUUAUUUAUAAGUAAGAUUCACUGCCAAAUAGUCGCCAUCUUUUUUACCAUAGGACCAAUAGAAUUUCACAAUAAUGUGAAGGGGUGGGCCUUAAUUUACAGGUAAACUAAAAAAAAAAACAAAAACAAAAACAAAAACAAAACAAAAGAGGAGUAAAAUGUUAGCAUUAUGGUUUGUAGUAAUUGUAAUUUUUUGUUUCCCCCUCUCUUUUCCAUUUGGUAUUACACUUCAUAACAUAAACAUUUUAUCGGUGACGAGGGAAUACAAGGGAAGAUAAAGAAUUAUAUGAACAAAAUCGUGUUAGUUGGAGAAAAAGAGAUAGUGUGAUUGGUAGUGAUUAGGAGAAAUUAGGAAGGAUCGUCCGGUCAAUUUAAUGUAUGUUCUAAAUCCCUUUGGAGGGAUUAGGAGGGAAUAUGAGGGAUUUGAGUAUUAUAUAACCAAUUUUAUUCUACUAUCUCACUUAUACCCUUAUUUCACAUCUAUUUAUCCAUAUAUUAUAAAUACAAGUUUUCAUCUUUUUUUCCUUCACGAGCAUUCAACUAACACUAUUACUUAAUUCCUUCAAAUCAUUUUACCUCUUUUCUAUCAUAAUUAUCUAAAUACAUUAUUUUCCUUCCUAAUCACUCCGUUCAAACUGAGCGUGAAGUUGUUGUAUUAACUUUUAUCUUUUGACUAAUAGAUAUUGAAGCUUUGUCUGAAUUACUACAUAAUAAAACUUAAGAAGAUAUGCCAAUAGAGAUUUGCACUCAUUGUGGAUAAAGAUGAAUCAUGAUGUGAUUAUUGAUCAUUUAGGGAGCGAAUGAUAACCAUUAUGGUUAGAAAUUGAUUUAUGGAAGAAAAAUAGAUUUUUCUAUUUUUAUUUCUAGAUGAGUUUCUAAGCAAAAAUACAUGUUUGAUAAUGAUAUAAAAUUUCUAUUCUAAAAAUAGAAAUUCGUUUGAUAACGACACAAAAUUUAUUUUUUUCGACCGAUGGCCGGCAACCGGCGGCGGGCAGCAAAGGCCGGCGAUUAGCAAUCGGCGAUGGCAGUGGUCGGCGACCGGUGACGGUUGGCGACCGGCGGAAGGCGGCGGUGACAGAUGGAGGACCGAUUUCUAGUAAGGACGAACGAUGAGAAUAAUUUUUAUUUCAGAAAUAGAGAAGUCGAAAAUUUUUACUUCUAAUUUCUAUUCCAAACCUAUUUCUGGAACAAAAGUCUAUUUCAGAAAUAGAAAAAAUGCAAUAAUUUUAUCAAACGGAUUUCUAUUUCAGAAACAAGUCUGGAAUAAAAAAAUUGUUUAUGGAACAGAAAUUGUAGGUUAUCAUGUACCCCUUAUUCCUGAUUUCUAAGGAUGUAAAUGGCGGACUAGGCCGAGCUUCUAGCCUAUUUUUGACGGCCCUGCUCAAACUAUUGGGCCUAAGAUAUCCAAGCAUGAAAAGAACCCCUAAACCCAAGAUGCAUUGUUUCGUUCGCCCAUCCUUGCAGGAGACCGAGCUAGGCCCAAGACGUAGUGAACAUAAAAAAUUGCAAGUAAUUUAUUUCGCUUGUAAAGUUUUAUUUUCUUCGAAUUUGUAAUCAAUUUUCUUCACUUCAACAAUAUAAGUGACGAUACCUCUGAAAACCCAAAAUUGGCACACCCUCGCCACAUAAAUCCCAAACUAAUUUUUGUGCCAUAAAAACGGCCAAACAAGUAUACUCGUGUUACAUUUAACUCAAAUUAUUUUUUGUAAAACAAUAUGAUUCCAUUCAUUGCAGAACCAAAAAUAAAAUUGCACACAGGUAACUAUUUGUACCCAUUGUGGUGAAAUUAAGUUAUUUCCUAUUAUUGUCCCCGGUUAGAUUAGAUAGCAAGCUUGCAAAUGCAUAUUCUGUUGGAUGCUACAAGUACGUUUGUUUCGUUGAAAAUGAAUGAUUUGAAAUAUAUAUUUAAAUUGUGGCUUGCAUCACUUACAAAAAUUAAUGGGUGGAAAAAACCUCCAUCGUUCACGAAGAAAUUUUCACAUAAAUUAUCAUCAAUAAUGAAAACAUUUUUCGUUGACUAAUUAUGUCCAGCAAUACAAGCGAUUAUAUAUAGGAAAAAGUUUUUUUCAAUCACUUAUUUCCAUCGAAACAAACAGAGUCUAAAUAAAAAUCAAUAUGAUUUUCCUUAGACUAUUAUGCUAAAGUUUUGCACAUCGAUCGCUUAUCUAUGAGAUUUAAAUUUUCUUCCUCUCAUUUUUAUAUUUUUGUGUUGGACUUUUUAAACCGAUAUAACAAUCAAGUUCUACCUAGAUUCAUUUCGCGAGUUUGGCUUCUCGUUUGUCCCCUCCACGUGCCAUUCUCAAUGUAGACUUUCCAAGCACUACAUUAGGAUCACCAAACCCGGACAAAAAUCAGUUCAAACCGUGUUAUUUUGAAAUUAGGUAUGUCCAAAGCUGCAUCCCCAGAACCAAAUGGAUCUUGCUCUUCUCUCCUUAGAGGGAAUAUCUGGGCCCAAUUUACCUGAUGUAAUUCAAUAUUGGAAGUUGAGACUUUUUCAAUGAGGAUAUCAUUGAAUACUCUCAGAAGCUGCCUAGCCAUGUUCAACUGCUACGAACAUAAAAUUUUUGUGGACCCAAAGCAUGCCGCAGGCUUACAUGUUCAAGAUCGUGGCCGGAAUUGCCAAAAUAAUAAAAUGAAAUUUUGGUUCGAAAGAUCCAACCUGGAUCUCAACCACCAUUGUAGGUUCAUUUUUAGUGUUCACCCAAGUUUGCUUUUUGUUUAGAGAUCCUGCACGCUAUAGAUUUGAAAGACAGAACUUGAGCUAAAAGAGUCUAAGUAAAUUCACAAAUAAUGGAAAAUAUGUUCUAGAUUUUAAUUUCCUGGAUUUACUUCAUUGUUAUUUUUAUUUUAUUUUUUUGCAUUCUCAGGUUAAUAUUAUCUUGAAAAAGAAAAAAAGUUAUUCGGAAUUCAUGCUAUAAUUUUAUGAUUUACGAAACAUGACAUUACCACGUUUCUUCUUACUUUCAUCAUCCUUGAUUUUACUAAGUAAUGAAUAUUACGAUUCACCAACCCUCAGCUCCUCAGGUCACAUCUGACAUCCUUUGACUAACAUUAUUUUUAUUUUUUUGGUAUGACUUUGACUGACAUCGUUAGCUAUGAACAAAAGAUAUGCCCGGGAGAAGCGCGGGCCAAACACCUAGUCUGUAAAAUGCUCGGAAAAGAAUAAAAUUACAAACCUAAUAAUUAGAAAGAUAGAAAGACGACAAAUGAGCUGAGAUAGUGGACUUUGGAGGGAUGAAUUCGAAGAACCUCCCCAAAACCACCUAAAAGGUCGAUCUUAAAGGUAAAAAUAAAUGAGCUCAGAGACUUCAAAUAAUUCUUCAUCUUUUUACCUAUAUAGUCCUUAAAACAACCUAAUCAAAAGUUAGGUCAUGUUCAAACGAAUUCUUAUUUUGGGCCCACCGUCUGCAUUUUUCACUAAUAGGAAGCUUCUUCAAGUUUGACUAAUUGCAUCCUUGUCAUUUAUUCUAAGUUUAGGCAUUGAAUUUCACUAGACAAAAUAAAGUUAAGAUUGACAUGUAUCGAAGAGAAACAUUCAUAAUUGGAUAGAUGUAUCCAUCAAACGUAACUUAUGCACUCUAUUAUGUGAAAUUGUCCAAUCAAUCCUAAAUGUAUUGUACGAAUGUUAGUUCAUUCCUAAACUUUUCAAUAUUUUCCAAUAGAGUCCUCUAUUUUUGCGCAAAAUUUCAAUGUAGUCUUCACAACCAAUCUUCGCCAGAAAUCCCUGACGUGGCAAUGUGUCACAUACAACGUACGAGGACUAGACCGCCGCAUUAGCGAUUUUAAGCAAAAAUUGUUUAAAAUGACUACAUUGAAAUUAAUUGGACCGCUGCGUCAGCAAUUUCGGCCAAAAAUUGAUCAAAAUGACUACAUUGAAAUUUCACACAAAAGUUUAAUACUCAAUUGGCAAAAUUGAAAAAUUUAGAAUUAAAUUAGUAGUCAUACAAAUGAUUUGGGAUUGAUUAGAUAAUUUUCCCCACUCUCUCUAAUUGCAAAAGAAACCUAAACAUCCAAAACUUGAUUAUGCUAACGCAUACUAUUAUAUUUUUGGUAAGAAAAGGGACAAAGUCCAAAAGUUACCUCAUUACUCUUCUAAUAAAACAAGAUUUAAAACAUGAUCCAAUCUGAUACCUUAACAAUAAACGAAGCAAACCUACUGAUGGCCUAUUUAAUAUAUGAUUAUCACCCGUAUUAUUGGGUUAAAUAACCUAAUUUGCUAGCCAAUCUGCACAAUGCAUACUAGUUUUGCUACAUCUAUUUGUCCAAAUUAAAUAGAUGACCAAAGACAAUGGUUAAUUAUCUGACCAAAGUCGCCAGGUAUUGAAAACUUCAAAGCUUAGAGGGUGGUUGGUGGAGGAUGAAUAUUACCCUUAACCUUUGAUUAUCUCCAUCGUCACUUCUUACGAAAUAGUCUCCGAAGUUUCUCUCCAAACUUGUAUCUGUAUUCGAUCUGUUCACCCAAUCCAACAAUAAUAAUUUCACCUUGAGACGUCGGAAAACAGUCUUCGAUCAUUAGAGCUGGCAAGCAAUUAUUUUAAUAAUUUUACGCGCUCAUAUGAUUUUAAAACCGUAGGAGCUUCGACAUAUCCUAACUAUAUAUAUAGGACCAAGGAGGUACUUUGGGAUUCAAAUUGUCCAACUUCGGAGAGGUGUCCGAUUAGUCCAGACCACCUUACUGAACGAGUCAUGGCCCGUUCUUCUACUCUUUCGUCGCCAACGGUGGUGGCCCUUUUUGCCGCCGCAUUGUUGUUUCUCCUCCGUCCAUUGAAUGCUGAACUAACUGCUGAUUUUUAUGCAAAGACAUGCCCGGACGUGUCCAGCAUCGUCCAGACCGUGAUUCAUGAGGCCCUUGAAUCCGACCCACGCAUCACCGCCAGCCUCCUCCGUCUCCAUUUCCACGAUUGCUUCGUCCAAGUGAGUCCCUACAAUGGAUCAAUUCCCAUUGACAAUGAGUCCCAACUUACCGCAUUCUUUUUACGGUACUUUUGAUCUGAUUAUUGAGUUAUUAGCCACGUAACCUAAUGCUUGAGAAUGACAUGUUUAAAGGGGUGUGAUGGAUCGAUAUUGCUGGACAAUAGCCCAACCAUAAAGAGCGAGAAAGAUUCCGCUCCGAGUUUUAAGUCCGCAAGAGGGUUCGGUGUGGUGGACAAGAUCAAAGCGGCUAUUGAGAGCACUUGUCCUGGGACUGUGUCUUGCGCUGACAUCCUCGCCUUGGCUGCUAACGCUUCCGUUUAUUUGGUAUAUGUUGUUUUAGUCAAAGAAAUAUAAAACAUAUUUAAAGUAUACUUAGGAUUCGUUAUUGUUACUUGGCCUACACGAAUUACAAUUGUGUUUCUCUUGAUUAUCACUUCUAUGAAAUUGCAGUCAGGAGGUCCAUAUUGGACGGUGCUCUUGGGGAGGAGAGACGGCUUGACCGCGAACCAAGGGCUAGCGAACACAUCGAUACCCUCCCCUUUUGAUAGCUAUGCCAACCUCACUUCCAAGUUCUUUGCUGUGGGCUUGGACAUCACCGACCUUGUCACACUUUCCGGUAAAAUAGAACAGUUGGACUUGCAUUUUGAUACGAAACGGGCAACUGCAGAUAUUUAUGCACACAAUAGAUUAACAGAGUGAAAUGUUAGGUUUUUGUCACAUAACUUAUCAGCACAAACAUCGCGUCACUUUCAUUUAGCACAUUUCAACUUCCUAAUAUGAUCAAGGUCUCUUCUUCAUUGAGAUCAACUGACGGGCAUUGGUUGUGCAUGUGCAUGGGCCGUGCCCGCACAGCUCAUGCCCCGGCAAUGCUAUCUACUAGAAUGAAUUUUAGUUAAGGAUUAAGGUUUACUUUAUUUAUCUAAAAUUGAAUAAGUAAAGAAUUGUCCUAAAACAUGAGAUCGACUAAAGUGCAUGUGUUGUGCCUAGGCUGUUCAUGGGUCAUGCAUGGGCUAUGCACAUUUACUAGAAGGAGUUUUGGCUGAGGAUUAAUGAUUUCUUUUUUACCAAAAAUUGAAAAAGUAAAGGAUUGCCCUUGACUUGAGAUCGACUGACGUGCAUUCGUUGUGCCUGGGCCAUGCCAUGUUGUGCAUGGGUAUGUAAAUAUAUUAGAAGGAAUUUUGGCUAAAGAAUUAAGGGUUUCUUUUCAAUCUAAAAUUGAAUAAGUAAAGGAUUGCCCUCGACUUAAUUUCAGGAGCAGUUGUGUAUCAUCACUACUCUAAAAAAGAUAGAUUAUUUAAAAACAAUUUUUUGCAUGACCGAGACUUAUCUCCUCGGUAAAUUCAAAAAUGAGAGGAAGCCGAUGAUACGUAAUUUCUUUAAAUUAGAAAUUAUGGGUUCAUACAUUUGCAGGUACAUAAUUUGCUAGUCCUAGAUAGAAAUGGUAAUUCAUAUAGGGUUAGUUUGAUUGAACUGAAUAAGUGAAGUUAAAAUCCCCUUGCGUGGAUCCCACUUAUCUUUAAUUCAAAUGGAUCUAAACCAAGCCCGUAUUAGCAACUCUUAGGUCUUAUCUAGUAUAACUUCUGAUAUCAAGAUGAAGAAGUGGUCAACAAUGACACUUCAUCGUUCAAUUCAUGACGAGGUUCAUAGCGCUGAAACCAUCGAAUUAAUGUAAUAUUUUCUUUGUUGUGAUUUGUUUUCAAUCAAACUAGUGUACUUUUAUGUGUAACUUUUUUUUAUUACAAAUUUGAAAAAUAUAUUCAUGUUUUAUUCAUUUUUUCAAUGGGUAAUUUUAUAUUCCUGAUAUCAUUACAGGAGUAUAAAUAUCGGGGGAGGAUGCUAUCAAAAUUUGCAAGCCCCUCAUAUACUUGUAUGAGAAAUGCCAAGUAUACUGGGGUCAUUUGAUAGAAUCAAUAAAUUAAGUGAUGUCACAGAUCAUUAUUAUUUAUUUAUAUUUUUACUAAUGAGUUUGUUGCUUAUGUUUAGUAUACAAAUUCUAUUAAGCAUUCCUAGUAUUGGUCUAUUUAUCCACCUUCACAAUUGAGCAUCUGCAGAUAUUUUGUUCUCUUAGCUAAUUAUUCGUGCAUAUGAUAAUAAACAGGAGCUCACACCUUUGGACGUGCACAUUGCAAGUCAUUCACCCCUAGGCUGUACAACUUCACCGCAGAUGGUGGCCCCGAUCCCACCCUAAGCCCGUGGUACUUGACGGCUCUCCAGAAACUUUGCCCUCCAAACUUCAGUAGUAGCGUCCUUGCCGACCUCGACCCGACGACCCCGAACUUGUUUGACAACCACUACUACUCCAACCUCCAGAAAAAUGACGGGCUUUUUCAGUCUGAUCAAGAGCUGUACUCGACAGCCGGUGCUGCGACAGUACCCAUCGUCAACAGCUUCAGUGCCGACCAGAGUGCCUUCUUCAAGAGCUUCACUCGGUCGAUAGUAAACAUGGGAAACAUCAGUCCUCUCACCGGAAGUAACGGGGAGAUCAGGUGCAAUUGUAGGAAGGUCAAUGAGAGUUGAGAGUGUUUUCUGGGGGGUUUUGGCCGAGUGCGUGUACGUGAAUAAAUAGCAGCGUGUGAAAUAAAAUUCAGGCAUUCUUGGAAAUGUCAAUUCUAUUGGGCAGAGAGCCGGAGAUUUGUAUUUCUACGUCGAGUGUGUAGUUUUAAGAGUUGAUCUGACUGAAGUAUUAUACAAGAUUGUUCAUCUCUGUUAAGAGAUCACAGAAAAUAAAUGAGAACUUUCUUAUAUUGAUCAUCCCUGAAGAGUUUGUUAGAAAUUCUAUAAACGUCGGCUAACAUGAAUCAUGUAGUAUUUUAGUUUGAAAAAACAUGUGGUUAUAUAAUAAAUAAAGGACAUGAGAUAAUACUCUAUAGCUUGAAUACAAUUUCGCUAAUCAAUUUAUAUUGGACUUAAGCACAUCUUGGUACGGUAAUAAAUUGGUGUUCGAAGGUCAGUGUAGGCUAGUAUUUUAAGGAUGAUUUGCGAUGAUAUUCUUCAAAGGCUAUAUGAAGAAGGAGAAUGAGCAAAAAACAUGUCCUCUUCCGUAUUGGUCAUGUAUACUUGACAUUUUCCAUACAUUUAUGUUGAUUGAUUAAGUGCUUAAUUUGAAUGUAACAGAACUUGUAUACAAAUAUUAGCAUUGUAUGCAGACUAUGCACACCACAUUAUGGGUGGAGUUUUACUUAAGACACGUAUCUAUUGGGAUUAAUUGAUUUGUAAAAUUCGGAUAAUCAAUAUGUUGAAACAUGUUCUGUAACUCAUAAUGCCCGUGUCCGGUUUGUGUUUCAAAGAUGCGAUACGAUUAACAAGAAUGUCAUGAUCUAAGUUUUACAGGAUUUAUUUAUGAAAUUAAACGAGCAUGAUGCAAAAACACGAAUUGACGGCUUAAUCUCUCUCUCUCGGCAGGUUUCGAAGCUUGGGGCCUGAAGCUCUGCUACAACAUUGAGCCUCGUCAUUCACAUACACAAACAACAUAUAUUGAAGAUCGUUUUGUAGGCUUCGCCAAGACGUGGGACUUUCUCUAUCUCUCGCUACACACACCUAACAGAUAUAGAAGCAUGUGUUAAGAUGCCCGUAUAAAGGCGUGUUUGUUUUGGCAUCUAUAAAGUCCUUUGGAGCCUCAAAGGUCUUUGGAUAAAUGCAUGUCCUUCGGCAAAAUUUUGGGGUGCUUCUGGGAGAUGCAAUUGCAUCUACAAAACUUUCUAAAAGCAUUUAGUCCAUGAUAGGUCCAGAGGAACUUUGGAAUGCUCAGCAACUGUCGAGCGACUAGUGUGCCACUGGCAAGCCUCUAUUGGCAGGUUUUGCCAUCAAAUACUUUGAUAUUUUCUAUAAAAAAACAGAAGCAAAAAUCCUUUACAAAGUAAAGUUUUACCAAAUGACAUUUGCAUUAAGGUCACUUUCCAAUAUGUUUUUAAAAUACACUUUAAUAAACACUAUUUGUAUUUCAAAAAACUCUUCAACUCAAAGACCUUUACAUCUUCUCAGAAAAUAUUUGCCUAAAGUUGAACCAAAUGCACCUAAAUUGUAUUAGAAAAUCGCACAUCAAAAAAUUAGUGCGAGAUGAAGAAAUAUUACUAUAUCAUAAUUGACCUAUAAUUUAUUAACUUAAUUUUUUUAGUAAAAAUAAAUUUAAUUGGACAUGUUGACGGACUCCCUUUUUGGUGAUCUCUGUCGAGUAAAGGCACCGGGCUCCUAACAGCACAUUGGGUAGGCUUCCAAGCUCCAACAAGUCUUCUCUCUCUUACAUAGAGGACAAUCGAAACAGAAUAUCUCCAUUCAAGGCAAAAAUUUGUCCAGCCCUGAUGGAAGUGCAGAACUGAAAAAUAAAAUUGCACACGUGUAACUAUUUGUACCUUGCGUGUUGCAAUUGAAUUUUUACCUAUUAUCGUCCCCGGUUCGAUUAGACAGCAAGCUUUGCAAAUACGCAUUCCUUUGGAUACUAAAUGAACAUUUCUAACAUUUUCCUUAGACCAUUAUGCUAAAGUUUUGCACAUUGCUCGCUUGUCUAUAAGUUGUUAGUAUGCCUUAUUUUCAUGUAGACUCCCUCCCAUCUAUAAGCUUUUGGAUAGGAUUUUCUGACCUAGUUUAACAGUCGAGUUCCACCCAGAUUUAUAUCAUGGGCGAGUCUUCUCGUUUGUCUACUCCACAUGCCAUUCUUAACGUAGACUUUCUAGCACAUAAUAGCAGGACCACCUACUCCCACGAUAUAUAUAUUCAGUUUGAACGGUACUCUUUCGAAGUUACGUAUAUCCUCAUCAACAUCCCCAGAACAAGAUAGAUCGUGCUCUUCUCUCCUCUGCGGGAUUAUCCGGACUUGAUUCAUCUGAUGUAGCUUGAUAAUGGAAGUUGAAUCUCUUUCAAAGGAGAUAUCAUCUAACGCACCCAAAAACUACCCGACCAUCUAUCAAAUAUCUUGACUGUUGAUUUUCGUGUGGACCCUUUCCUUCUCAAGUUCGCGUGCUUUUUGCUUCUAAUUAUAUCUGACCAAAAUUGAACACUUCAACGCUAGAGGUCGUUGGGUGGAGGAUGAGCAUUACCCUCAACCCUUGAUUAUUUCGAUCCUCACUUCUCACGAAAUCCUCGUCGGAGUCGCUCCCCAAACUUGUAAAUGCGCUCGGUCCUUGCACGUAAUCCCGCAUUUUAAUAUUCUCACAUCGAGGCGAGUGAAGCGGUCUGGUCAAUUCAUAAGGCUUUGAUCAUUAUAGCUGGCAAGAAAUUAUUUUAAUAAGUCUUACGCGCUUAUGAUGAUUUUGGAGCCGUAGGAGCUUUAACACAUACUAACUAUAAAUAGGACCAAGAACCUGCUUUAGGAUUCAAAUUACCCAACUUUUGAGAGGGAUCCGACUAGUCUAGACAACAUCACUUAACGAGUCAUGGCCGGUUCUUCUACUCCUUCCUCGCUGACGGCGGUGACCCUUCUCGCCGCAUUGUUGUUGUUCCUCAAUCCAUCGAACGCUCAGCUGACUGCCAAUUUUUAUGCGAAGACAUGCCCGAGCGUGUCCAGUAUUGUCCAAACCGUGAUCCAGGAGGCCCUUCAAUCUGACCCACGCAUCACUGCCAGCCUCCUCCGUCUCCAUUUCCACGAUUGUUUCGUCGACGUGAGUCCCUAAGCUAGAUCAAUUCCCAUUAACAAUGGUGCUCUCAAUCUGAUUACCAAGUAGCUAGUCACGCAACCUAAUGUUUAAGCCUGACAUGUGUGUUAAAAGGGGUGUGAUGGAUCGCUGCUGCUGGACAAUAGCCCAACCAUAAAGAGCGAGAAAGAUGCAGCUCCGAAUUUUAAGUCCGCAAGAGGGUUUGAUGUCGUGGACAAGAUCAAAGCGGCUAUUGAGAGUGCUUGUCCAGGGACCGUGUCUUGCGCCGACAUUCUUGCCCUUGCUGCUCAAGCUUCCGUCUCUUUGGUAUAUGUAGUUAUAGUCAAAGAAACAUAAACAUAAAUCUAAAGUAUAUUCAGGGUUCAUUAUUAUAACUCACCCUACUCAAAUCAUUAUUGUAUUUCUCUUGAUUAUCGCUCUUACCAAAUUGCAGUCAGAAGGUCCAUAUUGGACAGUGCUCUUGGGGAGGAGGGACAGCUUGACCGCGAACCAAGCCGGAGCGAACACAUCGAUACCCUCCCCUUCUGAUAGCUAUAACAACCUCGUUUCCAAAUUCUCUGCUGUUGGCUUGGACAUCACCGACCUUGCUACACUUUCCGGUAAAAAAGAACAGUUGGACUUGCAUUUUAAUACGAAACGUGCAACCGUAGAUAUUGAUGCACAAAAAAGAUUUAUAGAGUGAGAUGCUGGAUUUUUGUCACAUAAUUUAUCGG